AGUGAAAAAGAACCUGAAACCGUGUACGUACAAGCAGUGGGAGCACCUUCGGGUGUGACUGCGUACCUUUUGUAUAAUGGGUCAGCGACUUAUAUUCUGUAGCAAGGUUAACCGUAUAGGGGAGCCGCAGGGAAACCGAGUCUUAACUGGGCGUUAAGUUGCAGGGUAUAGACCCGAAACCCGGUGAUCUAGCCAUGGGCAGGUUGAAGGUUGGGUAACACUAACUGGAGGACCGAACCGACUAAUGUUGAAAAA
rnacentral:rRNA from 1 species